rnacentral:snRNA from 1 species
GUGCUCACUUUGGCAGCACAUAUACUAAAAAAUUGGAACAAUACAGAGAAGAUUAGCAUAGUCCCUACACAUGGAUGACACGCAAAUUCAUGAAGCGUUCCAUUAAAAA